ACGCACGCUGGCGGCGUGCUUAACCCCUGCAAGUCGAACGGAAAGGCCCUGCUUUUGUGGGGUGCUCGAGUGGCGAACGGGUGAGUAACACGUGAGUAACCUGCCCUUGACUUUGGGAUAACUUCAGGAAACUGGGGCUAAUACCGGAUAGGAGCUCCUGCUGCAUGGUGGGGGUUGGAAAGUUUCGGCGGUUGGGGAUGGACUCGCGGCUUAUCAGCUUGUUGGUGGGGUAGUGGCUUACCAAGGCUUUGACGGGUAGCCGGCCUGAGAGGGUGACCGGCCACAUUGGGACUGAGAUACGGCCCAGACUCCCACGGGAGGCAGCAGUGGGGAAUAUUGCACAAUGGGCGGAAGCCUGAUGCAGCAACGCCGCGUGCGGGAUGACGGCCUUCGGGUUGUAAACCGCUUUCGCCUGUGACGAAGCGUGAGUGACGGUAAUGGGUAAAGAAGCACCGGCUAACUACGUG
rnacentral:rRNA from 1 species